rnacentral:rRNA from 1 species
AGAAUCAACGCUGGCGGCGUGCCUAACACAUGCAAGUCGCACGAGAAAGGGUAGCAAUACCUGAGUAAAGUGGCGCACGAGUGAGUAACACGUGACUAAUCUACCCUCGAGUGGGGAAUAACUGAGAGAAAUCUUAGCUAAUACCGCAUAACACUUACGAGUCAAAGCAGCAAUGCGCUUGGGGAGGAGGUCGCGGCCGAUUAGCUAGUUGGCGGGGUAAUGGCCCACCAAGGCGAUGAUCGGUA